AUUCCAGGUUUGGGCUGGCUGGCUCUUCCCCACCCUAUGCCUGGGUCUCAACUUUCCUUCCUAUGUGAGCCUGGCCUCUGAUCUCAGGAGGGGAAACUGAGGCUGGCACUUGCUGACACCCAGCCAUCAAGAGCAUCUUUAAGGAAGUAUCUUUUCUUUAUGAGGGGCCUUUCUCCAUCAGUAUCCCCUGCUGGGACUUACAGAUGUGAAUGUAGGGGAUCGUAGAGGUGGGUCUGUGAGAAGGAGGAAGGGAGUUCCUACUAAAAGGACUGCCAACCUUCUCACCACUACCCCCAGCCACUCCCCUGGGCCCCUCAGCAGCUCUGGCCCCCCAAGGAGGCCUCUCCCUGGGAAUCUCUGUCAGGGCUCUGCUGCUGCCACCACCAGAAAAACCAGCUCUGGCUCCAGGCCUGGCAACAAUCUCCACCGAGAGCUGGAGUAUGUGGGUGAGUCUGGGGUGAGAAAGGACCUAGGAGGGACGCACCGAAGCUCACCAUCCAGGACAGCCAGACCCAGUGACCCUUCCAACACCCCAGCACCCCACUUCAGCCAGGCCUGGACCAUCACAGAGUCAUCGUAUUUCAGAGCUGGAAGGUCAAUAGAGAUCAUCUGGUCCUAGCUCUCGGUCUACUGAAGUCUGGUUUCAUCGCUGCCCAAGGUUACCAAAUAGAUUAAUAGCAGAAACGGGAUCUGGACCAAGACUCCUGACUUCCCAGUCCAAGGAUUUUUUCAGAGACAUGAAACAUUCCAGGUUCCUGGGAGCCAUUAAGGAGAGUCUACACACAGAAGAGCCAGAAUGGGGGUGGUAGUGGAGGUAGGACCAUCUGAUCCUCAGGCUAGGAGCCUCCAGCCCCCAGAGCAACCUCAGCUCUGUGCAGGUUGUAGCUGCUGCAGCAGCAGCAGAGUGGCCUCCUACCAGGUGCCAGCUUCCUGGGGCAAUCUGGAGCCAGGCUUCCUCCCUUACUGCCAGGCAUUGCAUGAGGUCUAACUAGAAGGGGGUCUCCUGUCCCCUUCCCUGGGCUUCUCUUAGUAAGAACAGUUUUGCCAUCAUGGAAAAGAAAGGCAAGAACCAUGUGAUGCAGUCACCAUUGCAUCUCCAGCAUCUAGUAUCCAGGUUGUACCCAGUGUGCACUCAAAUGUACUAUUCUUCAAUGAACUUAGAGUGAGAACACCAAGACA
rnacentral:lncRNA from 1 species